AUUGAACGCUGGCGGCAGGCCUAACACAUGCAAGUCGAGCGAGCGGCGGACGGGUGAGUAAUGCCUGGGAAUUGCCCAGUCGAGGGUGAUCACAGUUGGAAACGACUGCUAAUCCCGCAUACUCUUAGAUUGCCCAGGUGGGAUUCGCUUGUUGGUGAGGUAAUGGCUCCCCAAGGCGACGAUCCCUAGCUGGUGUGAGAGGAUGACAAGCCACACUGGAACUGAGACACGGUCCAGACUACUACGGGAGGCAGCAGUGGGGAAUAUUGCACAAUGGGGGAAAGCCUGAUGCAGCCAUGCCGCGUGUGUGAAGAAGGCCUUCGGGUUGUAAAGCACUUUCAGCGAGGAGGCGUUACUCGCAGAAGAAGCACCGGCUAACUCCGUGCCAGCAGCCGCGGUAAUAC
rnacentral:rRNA from 1 species